rnacentral:sRNA from 1 species
UGUCGUCCGCAUAACACGUCAAGUUGGC